ACUGCCUAGGUUAGUCCUGGGGGAUACUAAAGUGAAAUUCAGCGAUGCAGGGACAGGAGUGGCUGUGUCUUACCAGGUGGAUCUCCGUGAGCGACCCUUUGCAGCCCAGUGAUCACCCAGCUCCUCAGAGGAGCCUCAGACCCACCCGGUUCCGGCCCCUCUUCCCGCGCGGCGGCAGUGAGCCACAGCACGGGCGCCAUCUAGUGAUCUCACGGUCAGCAGAAUCAUCCCUCCCUCCCAAAGUGUCCACCUCUUAAUCCCAAAAACCUGUGAAUACGUUACCUUUCAUCCUUGCAUGGCCAAAGAGACUUUACAGAUGUGAUUAAGGUUAAGGACCUUGGGACUGGGGAGAUUCUCCUGGAUUAUCCAGGCAGGCCCAGUCUAAUCACAUUAGCUCUUUAAAAGCAGAUGGAUAACGUGGAAAUAAUUUUGCCAGUGACAUAAGUGUCACAAUGGGGAUAAGAGUCAAAUUUACAGAAAGUGGCUUGUAGCAGAAUAAAAUCACUAUCAACUCUUAAAAGAAAAACAAAAA